rnacentral:lncRNA from 1 species
ACUGGGACUCCAAGGAUCAGCCAGAUGAAAUGCUAUGUGCAGAGUCUUCAUUUCCCAGCUCAGUGGUGGACAGCAGAGGACUCUAAGUGAAUUAUCAACAGAAACUACCUAGAGAAACCUGUAACUUCAGAUCUUCUGAUUAAUUGAUUUUCUUUGGGUGCUGCUUGACAGUAACAGAAUGGUCCAUGGGGACAGUUUUUCAGUGAAUGUUUUCAACAAUGAUAGGAACACAGAGCUAAGCAGAGUGUCAAGAGACAUUUAGUGCAGUAGAGACAUCUCAUCUGUUUUUCUGCAGAACUUGCAUAAAAUUAGCAUCUGAUUAUUAUCACCUCAGAAUGAACCGGAACCCGUAAAGAUGUCUUUGAUCGUAAAAGUGGGGAGGAGACCCUGAUGGAAGAAGAGAAGACUUCAGCCUCACAAUAGAAAAGACUGUGUUUAUGCACCUAAAUCUAACUUAGACACCAUCUAAUUCAAGAAACAGGCACAUUUAGGGAAAUAAAGAAAAGAGGCAGAAAGAGAUGAAGCACCUUGGCUGAAUCAGAGAAAUUAGGGGUUAAUGUUCCAGACUGAUGACUUGAAGGAGGGUGUGCAUUUUCAUGCAAGGGACCAUUCUGUAGAAGAAGCAGCACAUUCACCCUUAAAUGAGCAAAGAGAAUCCCAAUCACUCUCCCUCUCACCCUCCCCUUUUCCUUCAUUUCUCUAGCUCUUUAUUUCCAAGAAGGCCAGCCCUUCUCUUCAGCCACAUGGUAUUUGGACAGCCUAGGCUCAAUCCCUGCAGGGAAAGCUCAAUCAGCCAGCUGAGCCAGUCACUGAACAACCAAGUCUGGUAAGAACAGGGGUGAAGUAUUUAAGAAGCCUAUCGUGGCUGGAGGGCUAAAGCCUUGUUCUCAAAUCAGCUUUAUAGGUAAUAAAACUGACAUUAAAGCAAAAACAAAUAAGAGUAA